rnacentral:rRNA from 1 species
AUUGAACGCUGGCGGCAGGCCUAACACAUGCAAGUCGAAUGGUAACAGGAAACAGCUUGCUGUUUCGCUGACGAGUGGCGGACGGGUGAGUAAUGUCUGGGAAACUGCCUGAUGGAGGGGGAUAACUACUGGAAACGGUAGCUAAUACCGCAUAACGUCGCAAGACCAAAGAGGGGGACCUUCGGGCCUCUUGCCAUCAGAUGUGCCCAGAUGGGAUUAGCUAGUAGGUGGGGUAACGGCUCACCUAGGCGACGAUCCCUAGCUGGUCUGAGAGGAUGACCAGCCACACUGGAACUGAGACACGGUCCAGACUCCUACGGGAGGCAGCAGUGGGGAAUAUUGCACAAUGGGCGCAAGCCUGAUGCAGCCAUGCCGCGUGUAUGAAGAAGGCCUCCGGGUUGUAAAGUACUUUCAGCGGGGAGGAAGGGAGUAAAGUUAAUACCUUUGCUCAUUGACGUUACCCGCAGAAGAAGCACCGGCUAACUCCGUG